ACAAAGAUUCCUCUCUUAUCCUUCAUUGAUUUUCGGUACAGUAUGUGCUAGAGGAGAGAGUGAGCCAAACAAACAUCAUCACCAUUAUUAGUAUUAUAAAGAAAAGAUACUCUCUCUCACUAUUAUAUUAAUUUUCGGUACACACAAAAGGUAAAAGAGAGAGUGAGCCCUUAAUUGAAACCAAGAGAGGAAGUAAAAUCACAUUAUUCAUUUUAAAUGAAGAAACAAAGAGAACUCUCUCCUCUCUUCUUAUCUUUAACGAAAAAAACAAAUAGUAGAAAAAAUCAAAACACAAUCAAACUAACAGUAGCAUAUGAAGAACAAAAGGUGGAGAAGAUGAACACACGGCGGAAUAGAUGAAGACUCACGGCGGCUCACAUAAGAUCACAGCGGCCGGAGCUUCUCCGGCGCGAUGGCCGGAGGUAAAAAAAACCAGAAACAUCUACAAAAGAAGUUUGAAAGUUCUAAACUAAAAAAUGUAGCACAAUCAGUGCAAGAGUCACGAAAGUAAAGAGGAAUUCGGUAUCAGAAGAAGGUUCUCAACCUUUUGAGGCAAAGAAAUAAAAAAACAGUGGCGGUUGAGAGCUCCGGCACGGCGGUUUUGGAAUUCCGGCGGUGGUUUCCGGUCAAGCUCGGUUCAGGUGAGUUUUCUGAUUUUUUUGUUCUGAGUAAGUCUGAAAAGUUCUGAGCAAAAAGGUCCCUUGUGUCAGUGUGAGUCAAUGCUUUUAUAGUGUAGAAUUUAGGGUUUGCAAUGAAUAACGUGGGCUGAGAAAAAUCUGAGUUUGUGUUGAGGUCAGGUUCAAACAAAAUGUCAAUUUCUUCUUGUGGCAGCCCAAAUCCGAAAAUGCUAUCCAUUCAGUCCAACAAUUCACAUUCUUUUUGUUUGCAAUGUUUUUGCAGUUGAUUGAAAAGAACCUUGGGCCUGGAUUUAACUUUGAACUUGAAUUACUUGUUGGUGUGAAUGAAAAUUUACCACAGUAACUUCACUUUGUACCAUUAUUUUCUUGAAUGCUUGUGUAUGAUUUUGAUUGCAUCUUAAAUUCUCUUCUUCUUUGCAUAUGAUGAGCACCAUUGACAUGAAGAUGGAGAGAAAAGCCUUGGAGGGACUAUGGUGAACUCGAAGCCCAAACAUGAAGUUUGAAAGAAAAUGGUGGACUUAUGAAGUGACUUCAAUCUUGAUCACACAAAACUUUGAAUUCUUGUAAAAUAAAAUGUAGAAAUUUGAAUUCUUGCAACCAUAAUGAUGAAAUCUUGGAUUGUCAUGAAUUAGAUCUUUGUAUGAAAUAAAGACUUUUGCUUUGAAUUUUGUAAUCUUUGAUGUAUCGUUGGCUUGAAACUUUAGGAAUUUAAUUCCUCUUGAAUGAAUGUACCUUUAAAGUUCAUGUAAAACAAAUCUUGGAUCAUGAGUGCUAAUUUUGCAUUUUGAA